CACUACUAUAGGAUAGAUAUCUCUUGUGUUUUACCUGUGGUUGAGGAGGAUUCUGUGCAGAUGUUACAGUCGUUGCCUGCGAUGUAGCUGGUAGGGGAGACGAACGUGCUUCCUUCGUAACGUCCAUGGCCAGCAUUUGCGAGCUUAACACUGGACUGCCGCUCGGCUGAUGCGGCACUCGCCUCUCGCACUGCAAACAAAAUAAGAUCUCAUUUAGAAUCACAAUUGCUACAUUGUUUUUGGAACGAAGUUCCUUAUGGGACGAUGCGGAGGGGUACCCUAUCCCUAACGGAAAAAACGUCCGUAACGUAAGAUUUUAUUAGUAAUACGCACAGUGUACGACUUAACUUUGUAAUAACGUACAAAAAAUAACAUAUUUUUUGAUGAUAUAUUUUUUAUAAAUAAUUGUGAAUAAAAUAAAGUUGAUAACUUUGUAAAAUAGUUUUUAUUUUAUUUUUAUCAAUAAAAAAAUCACAAUAAAAAAUGUGUACCCGAAUAAUUAUUUUCUUUAUACGAUAUACGAAUAGAACUUAAAAUUAAUAUUUUUAUAAUAAGGAACUACAUUCCUAUCCGGUGUCCCACGACACCACACAUCUUUUUAUUUUAUUGCUCUUGUAAGCAGACGAGCAUACGGCCCAUCUGAUGGUGUGUGGUUACCAUCGCUCGUGGACGUCAGCAAUGCCAGGAGCAGAACCAAGCCGCUGCCAAUAUGGUAAUAUUAAGAGAGAGAUUUAUCAAGACUACGAUAAAUAAAUAAAAUUCAGAAUAUUCAGCAAACAGAAAUUGCAAUUCAAUAUUAACGAUCUAGGUUCUUUAUAAUGAGCAUCAAUUACUAGAGGAAUUGAGUACCAUAAGAAUUUUAUUUUUCAAUAAAAAUUGCACAAGUCAUAAAAUAAUAAUAAAAUUAAAUAAAAACUAUUUUGUGUUACAGCAUUACACGCUGAGCUGUUAAUGUUAUCGCCGGUAAUAACGACUACACUAAAAAAAAAUUAGCACAACUACUCAAGCGAUUAAUGAGAACGUGAAACACGAUUCGUCGUUUCUGAACAAAUUAUGGGCUUUAAAAUACUUAUAAACAACAACAAAAACUUAUGCCGCUAUUGAGAUUGUGAACGAAAAAAAAAAGUAGGUAAGUAAUCGCGUCAAGCACGGCUCGCGGCUGCGUUACGGUUAAUUAACAUUUUUAAAUAAGAUUCAAUUAAAUUUGGCAACCGCUGUAACCUCGCACUAUUUAUACGCCGCCAAUUUUAACUCUUGUAUCUGCGACCUCUGGAUUAGUAAAAAAAAAAAAAAAACAAAAAAAAAAACUCUGAAAUCGUUUUCUAGUCCAACGGAAACGUGUAUAAGAGGCAGCGUGGCUGAAACAAUACCGACCAUUGUAAGGCCCGUGACGAAUGGCUCGCCUCUCUUAUUUUUGUGUUUUGGAGAGUGCGUCCGAUCGCCGCCGGCACGUAAAUAAUGGGAUACUGAUAUUGGCCGGAAACAUGCACACUGAACCAAAAAUUCGUGUCAGCGACUGUUUGUUUAAAACCGGGCCGUCAACGGAAGCUUCGUGAAUAAUUACCGAUCGACGACAGCAACACGCCACGCCACUCGGAAAACAACCCGUGCCGAAUGCAUCCAACCGAGAUUAGACGCAGUCCAAGCAAAAAAGCUCACGCCUUCCAUUAGCUCUGACUUUCAAAACGUCAAUACGCACGAAUUAGGAUUUAACGAACGCCAGCCGUGAAGCGGGAAACGAAACUAUGCAAAAGUAAUUUCGCGUGACUGUCAGUGGCUAAUUGGUUGGUUAUUAAGCGAGAUAAAACAGCGGCGUGCUGGGAGCGGUGUUGCAGGCAUCGCUAAAUUGAAGGAUGCGCUUAAACAGCGGCGUGCUGGGACCGGUGUUGCAGGCAUCGCUAAAUUGAAGGAUGCGCUUUGGAUUCGCGAGGGAGCCCGCGUCCGCAUAUCCAACGUGUCCCGCACCGCGUUAAUGAUUAACACCGACGCGGUCCGAGACCAAUUAUACGCUGCCACCAUACUCAAAUUAGAAACUAUUUUCGCCCAUUAGCAACCAACUUCAUAAUCAAUUACACGUUAAAAUUUCAUAGCGCUGAUUCGGGAGCUCUAUGUUUGGAUAAUCGGAGUUUGUGGUCCCUCGGCGAGCUAUUACGCGGCUCUGAACGGACUAUAGAGGUUUUUGUUGGGCUUACGUUGAAUUUCAUGCAUAUUUCGUGUGCAAUUGCACUUAAUGCAUGUGUAAUUUUGUAAAUUAAAUACUUUAUACGUUUACGUACGCUCGUCACAAGUUAUAAGCAAAGUUCGUUUGGUUUUUCCCUCAAAAUCCUUCAUAAAAAUGUUUCGUUUUAAUUAUAUCGGCAUUGAAAUAUAAACUAGGCUAUUAUACGGCGUUGAGAGGAUUGAGUGCACUUCGCUAAUCAUAAUUCAUCAGCGAGAUUAAAGAAUAAACGUCGCGAUGAGGGAGAUUUGUUGAACACGCGCCCCUGUCUCGCACUGAUACAUAAGUAAAUUACUACAGACACCGCACUAUUUCACAGGUCUAUAUUUAUAAAUAAAUCAUUAUAAUAUACACCUUCAGACAAACGAAAACAAUCUGGUAGACCUUUUAGAUCUAGAAACUCGAGCUCCCAUAGGAAUAAAAAUUAUUAUAGUUAGUUCAUGAGCACGUUUAAAAAAUGUUAAUAGAAAACAUUACGUAUAAAAUAUUUUCAAGUUAGGAUUUUAUAUGCCGAUAAGCUAUACACGUUGGUGGAGACUAGAACAGUUAUGUUAUUCUUCUCAUUCGUUUGCACUCUAGGCAGAGUAGUCGCGGUCGUCAGUUGAGGUGGUGGUGCGCUUCACAAGACGUCACCAUUCCUCGCGGACCGUGGCCUUUCUUGUGCACUUGUUGACAGGAUUGUUUAGCUGCCUUUAUUUGGUCGAUCCAUCGUAACGGUAAUCUACCGCGUGGUCUUGUACCCUGUAUAUAGUUAUAUACCUAUAUGCAAAUUCCAAAUGUAAUUGAAACCUAAUACCAUCCAACUUAAGUGUCAAAAAGAAAUAUACUGACUCUGACUAGGAGUCGAACGCGGAUAUUAUACAACUAUAAUUAAUAUCACUAACAAAUAGACCGAUGAGAUAAACGCUGACUAAACUAUAAUAGCAGUUCAAUGAAGAACCGAAAAUAAUUUAAAAAAAAGCCGAAACAAACGAAAAGAGAACAGUAAAUUUAACUUACAAACCUUUUAAAUAGGUUUUAAAAUAUUUUAUUAUACAAGUCGAUGUCAAUAAACAAUUACUUUUGUGUUGUACAUAAGAUAGUAGCCAUUGCAAUAAAAAUAUGCACAUUUUACAUUUACAGAUAUGAGCGAGGUGUGAGUGAGGCUUCUGCGUAGAUUAUGGAUUGUGACAGUGUGGGAGAGACUGAGACACAAUAUGAUCGCCACACCUGCGGAAACGACGGCAAAGUAACGAGACGAGAAGCUAAAUAAUUCAACCAACUUGCAACGCUUGCAACGGUGCUCUAUUUAAGAUUUCUUCAGACAAAUAACCAACUUUAUACUUUCACUUAUGUUAUUACGGAUAUAUAGUGAAUUUAAAAAUCGAAUAAAUUAUGACG